GGAAGGGCAUCUAGCCACGACCAGGGAAGCCUCAGCUACAACCUGGUGCACUGGUCCAAGCCCCCAGCAAGAUCCUUAGCUCUCGGUGUGGUAAGGUAGAACCCGAUCCUGGCCUCCAGUUGUCUUAUCUUUUUCAAAUGUUUCGAACUUACUGCCUUUGUUCAGCAGAACCACGGGCACGGUGAUGAUGGUGAUGAGCGCAGCAAGCCCCAGCAGUCCCAGGAGCACCUUCCACGGUGUCUGCAGGCGGGUCAGAUCGUGUCCGGUUAGAGCGAGCCGUCUGGCCCCAGCGCGGUAGAGGUAGAGGGUCGGGGCCCGCCCUGCACCCUAGGCAGCGGGGUUUGCCGAUGGGCGUGCAUUGGAAAGGGGGCACAGUGGGCUGGGAGGGUUUGGAGCGCGGAGGUUGCCAAGAGCGGUCGCCCUUGAACUUUUGGCCUCCAAGCACACUAGCGUUUGCUUCUCUACGCCUCCUGAACGUCAGAAGCCAAGUGAGGGAGAAGCCAGGGUCUCGUGAAAUGCUCAGAACACAUGCGUAAAACUACAGCAGGGUUGGGCUGGAAUGAAAUCAGCAACGUACCAAAACCAUGAAACACAGAAACAACUGCUUCUUCCAGACGUUCGACAUACCACCCAGAAGGCAGUGUGGAGAAGAGGAAAGAGUGAAGAUUUUAAAGUCAGACAAGCCUGGGCAUUCACUUAAUGACUGGGCGGCCGUUGCUAAUAAUGCAAAGGGAUACGAAAACAGUACACAGAAUACAGGAAUAAUUCACAACUCAAAAUUAUGCAAAAGAGCUGAUGCUCUUCUUCAGUUUGUGUGCAUCUAAUAGACGGUCUUAAUAAAGAAGCUAAUGAGUAUCUGAUAACACCGUGCAGCAUAAACAUAAGGAGGAACCUAACAGGCUCACUAAUCAUGGAACAAAUCUUUUUCUGUGGACAGCCAGAAAAUGCAAAAUCAUAGAACAACUGCAUCUGGACUAGAGGAAAAGAAUUCCUGCUCUCCUAUUAAUUCCAAGAAGAGUGGUCCUGCCAUUGCCACCAGCCAUGUGAAAUCUGUGGUGAAGAAUUUGAGAAUGAGGACAGGUAGCUACAGCCUGAAAUCAGGAGGAUGAAUGAGUGGAUGGAAUGACAGGAACCUGGUUACUGGGGAGUAUAGGUAGGACAGGUGACGAAUGACAGUGGAGGUGUCAGGAAGCCAGUGCAACUAUGGCAGCUCCACCCAGGAACUGGCUAGUAAGCUGCAGGAAGAACAUCAGAAGGGAAGAGGAAGAGCACAGAGUGAAGAAAUCAUGGAUAACCCUCCACAGGGCAGCAGCCCAAGCAAGGAGGCAAGAGGUUUAGGAUAAAUCAGUUCCAGUUUUGGACUAUGUAAGAUAUUCUAGUUAGUGGAUUUAACUCUCUUUGUUACUAAAGUGACCCUUUUCCUGACAUAGACAUCUGAGAGUGUCUAAAAAAGUCAUUAGAAUAUGCCUGAGUGUUCAUCCAAGGGCAAGGGAAGGUUAACUCCAUUGAACCCAUGUGUAGGGGGAAUGGAUCAUAAAAGCAGGUGCUGUGAUUUCAUUAUGGGUCACACUUGUUUAAUAUACUGUUACACCUGAAAUUUCAAAACUCCUGCUCUAAGAUGAAGUAACAAAUUGCAUGUCAGAAAAAUAUUUUGUCAAGUUUUUACUCCAUUUUUUGAGCAUUAUGCAUUUUCCAUGAACGGUUUAAAAUCCUUUGGAUGAUGAUCUAGUUAAAUAUAGGGAAAAAUUCCACCCUUCCCACCCCUUGCUCAGCCCUUAUAGCACCCAAUGGCCAUCCCACUAGAUGCCACAUGUUUGCUUCUUCUCAGGACAGAUGCCAAGGGAUUCCACGAAGUAAACAUCAGAUCUUCCACAGGGAACUGUAGGUUUAUUUCUUCUCUGGGAUGACUGUCAGAGAUGACUCAGCUUUCUACACCUCCACUCCAUUCCUGCAGUCAGGUGAUCCCACCUGUUUCUUCUACCUGUACUCAGUUCAAUUCAUCUGCAUGUACUGGCACACAGGAAGUACCACUUCCUGCUGGCUUGUCAGUAUUGCUACUUAUUCCCACCCCAUCCUUACACUCACCCAUAUCUGGCACCCAGUCUCAAGAUCUGAUGUUGAUUUACUGGUCUUUCUGGACCAUGCCAUCUGAAGCUUCUGACUCUCUCGGCCAGAAUUCUGUGUGUAAAGCACUGGUUGCUGAUACCAUGGCACUAUUUAUUGGCUUUCUUGGAUCUGAGCUCUAGUCUCAACUCUGUUAAUAACUCAGUAUAAUUUUACUCAGUUGUUUUAACCUGCAGGACACCUCCGUUUAACCUCAGUCUCUUCAUCCAUACAGUUGGGUAAAAAUAGCUACAUUGCUCAGAGAUAUUGGGCAGAAAGAAUAGCCAUGAACAAUAGCCACUUUGUAUGAGUUAGGUAGUAAAUGUAUGAAUAGUAUUAAUAUCAAUACAAUUUGGUUACUGGGCUGGAGUUGGGAUUUUCAAUAUGGUUACCUUAUCUUUCCCCUUGCCUGUCAUUACUACAUCCAUUGGCCAUUUGCCUGGAUCUCUGAUCCCCAAGAGCUGAUGUCCUGAAUGCCAAUAUCUACCUUCCUCCCUGGACUAUCUUUCUAGGGUCAAUGCCCUCGUAUUGCAUCAUGCAAAGGUCAAUUACUCUCUUUCCUUCAAUCCCAGGUAAGGUUCCUAAGCCUUCUAUAUUUGACUAUUGUCUCUAACCCAAUCUCCUAAUGACUACAGAGACUUGUACAAUUCUGGUUCAAAUAGCACUCUUCUCCCUUCUGCCUUCAUAGCAGUCCUAUACAGGAAAACUAGGAGAGCAAAGUGUUCUGGAAGUCAUGUGAAAAAAGUGUUGUAAAAAGGAAGGCUUGUACAAGUCUGUCACAUGCUAACAAUCAAGGAAGAUGAAGCCUGAGAAUUGAUCGUUGGAUUUAGCAAUGUGUAAGUUACUGAUGGGCUUUAUAAGAACAAAUUUGGGGAAGUAAUCAUAGUAAAAGUUUGAUUAGAGUAGGUUCAACAAAGAACAGAAGGAGCAAAAUCGAAACAGCAAGUAUAGACAGCUCUUUCAAGGAGUUUGUUGUUAAGGGAAGGAGAAGAAUGGGCAAUAGCUGGAGAGAAAUAUAGGAUGACGAGUUUUUAUCAAUGAAUACAUAAUAAAAGUAUGUUUGUAGGCUGAUGGGCUAGACCCAGUAGAGAGGAAUAAAUUGGACAGGAGAGAGAGGGAAAAUUGCUAGAGCAAUGGCUUGAGUAGAUAGGAGGUGAUGGAUCUAGCAUACCAUUGGAGGGGCUGGUCUGUAGGCAUAUGAAUGACUCCACCACUCUAGUGCAAGAAGGGAAGUGUGGUAUGAGCACACAUGCAGAUAGAUAGAUGUGGAAGGGCUUUUCUGAAUGCAUUAGUUUUCUUAGUUACAUAGGAGGGAAAGUUAUCUGAGAAUGAGGAUGGAGGAGGCAUUGGGGUUUGAGAAGAACAAAAGUAAGACAUAGUUACUUAGAAGAGUAAAUGAUCUAAGGAAAUACAAUGUAAUUGCUGGACAGGGUUAAUCACCCACAUAAUGUUGGCGAUCAUGAAUCUAGAUUGAUGUCAUCAGUAGAUUUUUCUCUAGACAUGUUCAUCGGUGUGGGUGUAGGCACAGAGUAGGCAGAAUGUUGAAUUUAACCAGGAUUGGGUUUUAUCCAAGGGAGUUUGGUGAAGUAAGAGCAAAGCAAAGAAAUUGGGGACAAAUUUAAGGGAGUGAUUAUAAUAAGUGACCAUGGAAUUUAAGCUGGAUAAUGGGGGAAGUGCGUGAGGAUAUAAGGAGAACCACUGGAAAUAUGGGAUCAGUGGAUUGGAGGUGUUUAUGGAGUAGGAGCAUUGUUGGAAUUGGGGUUUAGGAAGUGAGAUGGAAAUAAAAGUAGUUAUUGGCCAGAAAGUAGGCUGUAUGGUGAGUAGACAAGUAGUGGUGGGGCAGUGAUGAGGUGGGGGUGUGAGAUGACUUCAACAAACCCAGUAAUUUCUAGAAUGGCACAUUGGUGUGGCUUAAAGUAUUCUCCAUGUAGGCAAGUGGAUAAUGAGGAACCAUUGUUUUAUGCUAGUGUUCUUUUCUCAUUAUAAUUAUUUUUGUCUCAGUUGAGUACAUGAGUAUUAAAAAAGAAAGAGAGGAAAAAAUGUGGAGUAAUGAUAAUUCAGUUAGUUUGAUUCAGCUAUGUAAUUAAUCUCAAAGUAUGGUUUGGGCACCCCUGGAGUUCCCCAAGACCUUUUUCAGGUCUCAAGUAUUUGCAUAAUAAUAAUAAUAAUAAUAAUAAUAAGAUGUCAUUUUCCAUUUUUAAUUUUUGUCUUGUGAAUGUACAAUGGCUUUCUCCAGAGGGUAUGUGAUGUAUGAUAGCACAACAGGUUGCAGAAGUAGACAUGAGAAUCCAGCUGUCUUCUAUUAAGCUAGAAAUUAAGGAGAUUAAAAAAAGUAAAACAAUGCCAUUUUUUGCUAUUUCUUUUUGUUUUGGAAAAUACCAUUUUUCCACAAAAAAAAUUGUUACUAAUGUUAACUUACAAUAGGUUUGUUUUUAAAUCCACCCAUUUAUUAAAUUUACUGAGUGUCUAUACUAUGCAAGAGUUGAAGAUGCUGAGGUAAUUUAUACAGAUUUCUGGAUGAUGGCGAACACAGACACAGAAAUAAAUAAAGCCCAUUGUUAUAGUA